rnacentral:piRNA from 1 species
UGAGUGUUGCGAGUGCGAAUGUGCUUUCC